rnacentral:lncRNA from 1 species
AUGUCUUACAUAAAUAUUUAUGUCUUACAUAUCGCACUAUGAGACUCUUGAUAUUGGCCACUUCGACAAAGUAUAUUUUUUAGAUGGAAGGCCAGGCUAUGGGGUGACAACUUUUCAUAAUCAUUUAUGCCACCUCAAUCAAGGACAACAAAGGCAGCAAUUAUUAGGAUGAGGCAAUGUGUCAUUCAUCCAACGGUAGCUACCUCAUCUUCUACUAUAAAAACUCACACUUAGUGUCAUUUACAUAUAAUCCUAAUUUGCACUUUCAACAGUGACUUAAGCUUGCCACUUUUCUCUCUCCUCGUAUCAUACACAUACUUGUGGUGGUUCUUGUCCAUUGUUCGUCCCAUACCUAAGUAUAUGAGUUGACAAACUUGAUCAUCAAAGUAUCCACGACCACCUCCCCCAUUGUCAAAGAAAGCCAAGUGCACCUAACGCUUGUUCAAGUGUGUAUGAGCUUAAAAUAAGGACAAGAGUGGAGUUGGAUCUAUUGGCCACACUUCUUAGCCGAAAAUUGAGGUCAACAGAAAAGUUAUGGAAAAAUGUGAAAAUUGUUUUUUUUUUUAGUACACGUGAUUGAAAAUGAGCGUCGGAGAGAAGCGUUUCUCAAAUAAUCAAAAUCAAACAAUGCAUAGAGCCUCAAAAAUAAUGCAAAUUUGAACGUCAGUUCGAAACAGUAAUUGCUAAACAUAUUAAUUUAAAUUAGAGGGCACGUAUGUGACUCAAUACUGUAUAUAUAAUGGCAAAUUCGGC